rnacentral:rRNA from 1 species
AAACUUAAAGGAAUUGACGGGGCCCGCACAAGCGGUGGAGCACGUGGUUUAAUUCGAAGCAACGCGAAGAACUUACCAGGUCUUGACAUCCCGAUGCUAUUUCUAGAGAUAGAAAGUUACUUCGGUACAUCGGUGACAGGUGGUGCAUGGUUGUCGUCAGCUCGUGUCGUGAGAUGUUGGGUUAAGUCCCGCAACGAGCGCAACCCCUAUUGUUAGUUGCCAUCAUUCAGUUGGGCACUCUAGCGAGACUGCCGGUAAUAAACCGGAGGAAGGUGGGGAUGACGUCAAAUUAUCAUGCCCCUUAUGACCUGGGCUACACACGUGCUACAAUGGUUGGUACAACGAGUUGCGAGUCGGUGACGGCGAGCUAAUCUCUUAAAGCCAAUCUCAGUUCGGAUUGUAGGCUGCAACUCGCCUACAUGAAGUCGGAAUCGCUAGUAAUCGCGGAUCAGCACGCCGCGGUGAAUACGUUCCCGGGCCUU